GUAAGGAAUAUUGGUCAAUGGGCGCAAGCCUGAACCAGCCAUGCCGCGUGCAGGAAGACGGCCCUAUGGGUUGUAAACUGCUUUUGUACCGGAAUAAACCCCUUUAUGUAUAGAGGGCUGAAUGUACGGUAAGAAUAAGGAUCGGCUAACUCCGUGCCAGCAGCCGCGGUAAUACGGAGGAUCCAAGCGUUAUCCGGAUUUAUUGGGUUUAAAGGGUGCGUAGGCGGCCUGUUAAGUCAGGGGUGAAAGACGGUAGCUUAACUAUCGCAGUGCCUUUGAUACUGACGGGCUUGAAUGCAGCUGAAGUGGGCGGAAUGUGACAAGUAGCGGUGAAAUGCAUAGAUAUGUCACAGAACACCGAUUGCGAAGGCAGCUCACUAAAGUGUGAUUGACGCUGAGGCACGAAAGCGUGGGGAUCAAACAGG
rnacentral:rRNA from 1 species